rnacentral:lncRNA from 1 species
GGUCCCGGGUGCGGGCGGGCGGGGGCUCCCUGAGGUCCCAGGGAUGCGGGGGGCUCCCUGAGGUCCUGGGGCGGGCAGGUGGGACCGCAGCUCUCACCUCUGCGCUCGAGCACAGGGCUGCUAGCACCCCAGCUCUGGUAAAGGGAAGCCAGGUCCUUCGGGAUGUAUGUCUUGAAGAUGCUGAGGAGGUCCAGGCGCUUCUCGGGGCCCUCGGACGCCGGCUCCUGCUUGACGGGGUGCGGGGCAGGUGGGCCCUGAGGGGCUGCGGGCCCUCUGGAGGCCGCCUUGGAGGGGGGCUCCCGGGGAGGGAGAGGGGGCUGUGGGUUCACUGGGGCACAGGAGAAAAGUUCGUUCCCAGUGCUUUUUCCCUUCUGAAUUUCUGUUCUAACGUAUUGAAGAUACACAGGAAAUUUAAUCUCAAAACUUGGCUUUUUUUUUUUUUUUCCUCCCAGCUAACCCCUUCAGUGUUGGGAAAGACCUGGCCAUGUAGCCAGGGAAACUAAAGUUUUGGAUUGGGUUCCCAAGGGUUUGGGCAGCGUGACAAAGGGUGCAGGAAUCCCGAGCCCCCAGGUGUGGCCCACCUUGACCCGACUUGCACUAGAGCCUGGCAGCAGCCCGAGCCUCGCAGGCCUCGGCUGGGAUGGCCGUGCAGACGGUGUGCGCGCGGCUCCGCGCUCACCUGGUGCGGGGCGGGAAGCCGGCCCCGAGGGCCACGUGACGCCGUGCCAAAGUGACUCUGCUCGGUGGCGGGGGGCGGG